AGAGUUUGAUCCUGGCUCAGAGCGAACGCUGGCGGAAUGCUUAACACAUGCAAGUCGCACGGGGGCUUCGGCUCGAGUGGCGGACGGGUGAGUAACGCGUAGGAACGUGUCUUGGGGUGGGGGAUAACGCUGGGAAACUGGCGCUAAUACCGCAUGUCUGCUGCGGCAGAAAGCCUUCGGGUGCCUUGAGAGCGGCCUGCGUCCGAUUAGCUUGUUGGUGGGGUAAUGGCUUACCAAGGCGUCGAUCGGUAGCUGGUCUGAGAGGACGAUCAGCCACACUGGGACUGAGACACGGCCCAGACUCCUACGGGAGGCAGCAGUGGGGAAUAUUGGACAAUGGGCGCAAGCCUGAUCCAGCAAUUCCGCGUGGGUGAAGAAGGUCUUCGGAUUGUAAAGCCCUUUCGACAGGGACGAUGAUGACGGUACCUGUAGAAGAAGCCCCGGCUAACUUCGUGCCAGCAGCCGCGGUAAUACGAAGGGGGCUAGCGUUGCUCGGAAUUACUGGGCGUAAAGGGCGCGUAGGCGGCUAUGUUAGUCAGGCGUGAAAUUCCUGGGCUCAACCUGGGGACUGCGCUUGAUACGGCAUGGCUUGAGGAUGGAAGAGGCUCGCGGAAUUCCCAGUGUAGAGGUGAAAUUCGUAGAUAUUGGGAAGAACACCGGUGGCGAAGCGGCGAGCUGGUCCAUUACUGACGCUGAGGCGCGACAGCGUGGGGAGCAAACAGGAUUAGAUACCCCGGUAGUCC
rnacentral:rRNA from 1 species